UACGAAGGGGGCUAGCGUUGCUCGGAGUCACUGGGCGUAAAGGGUGCGUAGGCGGGUCUUUAAGUCAGGGGUGAAAUCCUGGAGCUCAACUCCAGAACUGCCUUUGAUACUGAAGAUCUUGAGUUCGGGAGAGGUGAGUGGAACUGCGAGUGUAGAGGUGAAAUUCGUAGAUAUUCGCAAGAACACCAGUGGCGAAGGCGGCUCACUGGCCCGAUACUGACGCUGUGGCGCGAAAGCUAGGGGAGCAAACGGG
rnacentral:rRNA from 1 species